ACACACCUGGAGCUGGAGAGAGCUGGGAAGAGUCAAUUCCCAGUGCCAGGCUGCAGUGAGCAGGAGGAGCGUGUGUGAUAAAUUUCUAUUGCUCUUAUCCACACCUCUAUUUGCGGCUUAGAAAUACCAUGUGUGUGAGUCACAGCCGCGGACACUCCGGGUUUCCUGUCCCCAUCCCCUGCAGAAGGUGGGGAUGCUGUGUGCUCCUGCAGAGCUGCCCCAGGACCAGCCCAGCCUUGGCACACUGCAGGUGCAGGGAAUUGUCCCAGGGCUGUGAGGCCACCCAGGAAAGCAGGGCAGGAGUGAACCAGUGCCUGCCAUCUCUGCAGUACGACUCCUGGGCCAGGAGAUGGAUUUCCCGGAGCCCGCUGGAGCCCUGGGUGCUGGUGGAACACCAACAUCACAUCUGGGAGCAGCUCAGCGCAGGGAGCAGGAAGGAUUUCUGCCGGGAGACAAAAAGGCAGCUCAUAAAUAAUGGAGGGCAGUGUUAUUACUUUUUUAUCUUCGGGAGUCAGAGCGGCUUAUGGAAGGCAGGCUGGUGCAGAAUGCUAAUGGGGCACUUGGCAGGAUGGAGCUGUGGCAGUGAACUCCCUGCCCUGGGCUGCAGAGCUGUGGCACUGGCUCUGCUCCUGCCCCAGAGCGUGCCUGGCCACCGGGCAGAGCCUCUCCAGAAUUCCUUCCCUGGCUGGGACUCCUCUGACGAACACCAAGGAGGGCUGAAGAGGCCAGGACAGGCGGCAGGGGCUGAGUGUGACACGAGCUGA
rnacentral:lncRNA from 12 species